rnacentral:rRNA from 1 species
GAUGAACGCUGGCGGCGUGCCUAAUACAUGCAAGUCGAACGCUGAAGCUUGGUGCUUGCACCGAGCGGAUGAGUUGCGAACGGGUGAGUAACGCGUAGGUAACCUGCCUCUUAGCGGGGGAUAACUAUUGGAAACGAUAGCUAAUACCGCAUAAAAGUCGAUAUCGCAUGAUAUUGAUUUGAAAGGUGCAAAUGCAUCACUAAGAGAUGGACCUGCGUUGUAUUAGCUAGUUGGUGAGGUAACGGCUCACCAAGGCGACGAUACAUAGCCGACCUGAGAGGGUGAUCGGCCACACUGGGACUGAGACACGGCCCAGACUCCUACGGGAGGCAGCAGUAGGGAAUCUUCGGCAAUGGGGGCAACCCUGACCGAGCAACGCCGCGUGAGUGAAGAAGGUUUUCGGAUCGUAAAGCUCUGUUGUAAGAGAAGAACGAGUGUGAGAGUGGAAAGUUCACACUGUGACGGUAACUUACCAGAAAGGGACGGCUAACUACGUG